rnacentral:lncRNA from 1 species
UCGGCCAGGCCUGAGAUGCCGGGAGGGUUUGACCCUGGGGCUGCAUGGACAGCUUAGCGCUCGGCCGCUGGCGACAGCGGAGGGCGGAGGAUCUGCAGGUUCCGGGGGACGUGGUGAGCCCCCGGGGCCUGGGCGUUAGGGACGGGAGGGCGGAUGGCCCCUGGGCGGGUUCCCACCGCGCCUCGUUUUUGCCGGCGCGGCCCUGCCUGUGAGGAGGCCUGGCCCAAGACACUCGCACGCUCGCGUACGUCCCUGGGAGGGCGUGGCCAGUGAUGGGCGUGGCCUGUUAGGGCGGGGUUGUGACGCCGCUCUCCCGGUUUCGCGCCUGCGCGGUCGGGCGCGGAGCUCGGGCACCUUCCUGACCCACACGCUCACUGGGGCUCCAGACCCAGGCUCCCUAAAACAUGGGCCGAGACUCAUUGCAGGACCUCGGGUGCUUGGUAUCCGUGUCAUGUCUUCUCCUGCCGUCUACACCUGACUGUUCCUGAGUCUCGUUCACUGAGCGCCUGCCACGUGCCAGGCCCAGGGCUGGGUGUUGGGGGACGAGUACGUGGGGAGCGAACACGCGCAGAAAAUUACCCGGCAUUGAGCGUGUUAGUGCUUCUUGGGCUGAGUCCAUUAACUGAUGAGCAGAGGGUAAGAUGAGAUGGUAAUGGGGAGACUUGCACAAGAUCCCAGGGUGCGUGGGUAAGUCAGGUAUGUGUGAGACUUGAAGGAUGACCGGGGGUAGGCAGGAUGGGAGGUGACAAAAAACAGUGUUGGAGGAAGGAGCUUAGCGUCUUAGGGGCACUGAAAGAAGUACUGCAGGAUUGGAGCUGGAAGACAGAGCUGCUUGGCAUUCCUGUAUUUUAUCUUCCACCUCUGCUUGCAAAUUGGCCAGUUCUUACUUAACCUCGUUUAUUUCAAAGUUCCUCGCUAGGGGCAGCAGUGAGCAGCCAACAUACCGCAUAUUUGCUUUUUUUUUUCUUCUAGAGCUACACAGGCUUGGUAAGUGCAGGAUCCGUCUUCCCAGUUAAUACAGGCAGCAUUUUUUUAGAUGUCUUUACUGCGUAGCGGGAAUGACUAGCUUUCUACCCUGCACCAUCUCUUUCCUCACUACUCACUGCCUGGCCGUGAAGCCAGUACCACUUAGGUUUCUAUCACAGCCGCACCCCUCCUCCAGGUACCAAUUGUUAUAUUACUAGGGUGCAGGUUACCCCAGUAAUAUAGUAAUAAUAUGGUAUAGUAAUGUAGUAUAGUAAUAGUAUAGUACAGUAAUAUAGCAGGUUAGGGUGCUUUUGUAACCAAGAGCCUUCAAAGCACGCUGGCCCUAACAAGAUGGAAGUUUGAUUCUCCUGCACAGAACAGCAUGGACGUGAGCAGUCCAGUGGGGUGGAGCCCAGGGUCACUAAAUAUAGGCGUAGGGCUGGUGGUACCCAGAUCAGGGGAUAUGCGGGGACCUAAGUUCCUUCCCCUCACACCAUCCCCUGGGUGUCACCCUCCUCUGCAUAGCCAAGGGUGGCUCACUGCUACUGUGCUACCAGAUGGCAGAAAAACAAACAGAAAAGUGACAUGAUUAUGCUGAUGUGUUGAGACCUUACUUCACUGCCCUGGAAAAUGAAAGGUGUGAUCAGGGUGCAGGCAGGGAGGCAAGGCUUGUGGCUACAGUAGUGUGUCAGAGGAGAAGUGGCAGAGGUUUGCACAAGAGAGGGCAGUGGGGUGGUGACACUAGAGAGACGUGACUGUGUAGAGGGAGAGCAGACAGUCUCACUGAUGGAGUGGCAGUGGCAGGGUAAUGUGAAGAGUGGAGUCCAGGGUGUUGUAGGGGUUGACUUGAGCCCUGCGAGGGCAGUACUGCUGCUCCUUGAGAGAAGAGUGGUGUGGAGGCAAUGAAGAGCUCCUGUUAGGCCAUGCUGUGUUUUCUGCGACUUUGAGACGUUUAGUGGAGACGUGGCAAAUACUGCUAGUGAUUGAAUGGUUAUCAUGUGGAUUAUCUGAAUUUCUUUAAUCAACUAAAAUUUAUUUAAGCAUAAAGUUACUUUCACAUUUGUCUACACCUACAGUAAAUACAGUUGUUGGCAUAAAGACACAGCCUUUAGAAUUUAAAGCCUCCCCACCUGCAAGAUUACAUACGUAAAACUCCCACUGUUGUUUCUAUAAUAGUGGAUUAAUCAAAUUAAAAUAGUUAUACUAUCGAAUAAAAUACAAUGGAAAUAAUUUACUUAUAAGAUUCAUAUUUAAAUCAUCCUUAUUUACAAAAUACUAUCCUAAGAAUUAUAAUUCCAUUAAGUUUCAAUUUGAGCAAAAGUGUAAUCACUUAAGUAACAGCAGUUACUUGAAAUGAGAUCAGUCAGAAUUACUUUUGAAGAGAGCAAAAAUAUUGCCAGGUAUCUUGCUGCGGUUUUGGAUGUUCCGUAGCAGGCUCAUUUGAAGGCGGAAUCAGCCCUGAAGGGAACUCACUUCUACCUUCAGAAUGUGGGGGUCGGGGGAAAAAUCCAGGUCUUGGGGGAGGGUAAGGAGGAAAACCCCUCGGUGGAUAGACAUUUCUCAUUGCAAACGGAGCAUGUGGUGGACCUGGGAAAUCCCCUGGUGGAAAAUAAUCUCGAGAAGCUCCAAACCUGGUUCCUGGAGGAGGUGGGGGGAAAGGAGGUGCUCUUCUCAUGAACGGGCCCCUUGUAUCCACUGGAAACAGUGGACCUCUGAUUAGGGCAAGAGGUGGAGGAACAAAGCGAGGGCCAGUUGCUGCAUUUUCAGCAGGGAGAGAUGAAUCAGGGAUAUUUAAAUUACCAAGAUCAUCUUUGGUGUCAUUUCUACUGGAUUCCAUUUCUGAAGGCAUUGACCCAUCCAUUUUAUCCAAAGGAGGCAUAUUAAAACUUCUGAGUUCUGCUGGUCCAGACAGUCCACCAGAGUUAGAAUAAAAUCUGUCUUGCCUUUGUGGAGGAAGAGCUGAAUCAAGAUAUGAUUGCGCUGGUGGAGGAAACAUCAUCCUACGGUCCUGUUCCCUCGGAAGUGACAGGGACCCAGUGUCAGAAGGAGACCUGUGAGGAUCGGUUAACCUUUCACAGCUUGAUUCUCCUCUUUCCUUGGUAAUCUGAUGGUCCAGAGGAUUCCCUGGGCCUCUUGAGCCUCUUCCUUCCCCCCCUGGAGGCAAAGGUGAGAGUCUGAGUGGACCCUCCAACAGAGUUGCGGGAGAGAGAAAAGCUCUCGUUUCAGAUGAAGGCCGACCCAAUGAUGAGGGACCAUAUGGGGAAUGCUCUCUGCCAAAUGCUGUAUUUGGAACAUCAAGUACAUAAGGAUCUUUUUUUAGAAGUUUUAUUUUAUACUCUGUUUCAGCUAAUUUUUGUCUGUUGUGAGCAUUUUCUUUCCUUAAAUCAUUGAGGUUUCUUUCAGCAGCCCAAGCUGCCAACCAGUUAUGAUGUGCCUUUUUCUCAUGGGAAAUAAUCUGCCGUUGAUAAUAAUGAAUAGUUCUCUCCAAUUCUUCUUCAAGAUCUUUGGCUCGCUGUCUGUAGGUCUCCAGCUCUUUAGUGGCAUGGCUGAUCUUUUUGUCUACCUUAGAAAGUUUCUCUUCUUUCUCUAACCGGCUAUUUUCCUCUACUGUUAAUUUCCUGUAGAGUUUCAUUUCAUUUUCUUGAUAUAAUUCAGUCAUUACUUUAAGUUUCUGUUGAAGCUUCUGAUUCUCACUUUCAAAAUGUGUGUUUUCUGACUGCAAAGAUGCUUGUUCAGUCCGAAGAUUUUUAAUAUGCUCUGUAAGCUCUUCCUUUGUUUUAUCAAUUUCAGGUAACUGGAUAUAAAUUUGGUUUCUUUCUCCUUCUAAGGUUUUUAAAGAAGCAUUUAACUUAGUAGCAUGAAUCAGUUUCUUCAGAGCUCCUUUUAGAGGAUCAUCUAAGUAAGCACCAUCUUCUGAUUCACUGUUCACUUCUAAGUUAUCAUCAUCCGUUACGUCUUCUCUAAGCCUAGCAGCCCAAUCUUUCAUCUUUAGCAAAUGUUCAGUCAGAGUCUUGAUGUGAUUUUCUUUAUCAUUUAGAACUUGUUCUGCAUGUACUUUGGAGUCUUCAAAUGUUAUUUUCUGUUUAUUAAGUUCAUUCACUUGUUCGUUCCAUACUUCAGCUUCUUGCAAAAGCUGUUUCUGGCUUUCCUGAAGGUGAGAGUUUUCAUUCAAAGCAUCUUUUAUUGCUAUCUUCAGUUGUUUCUCAGUCAUUUUAAAUCUCUUGAAGAUCAUUUUGGCUUCAGCUACUUGUGAUUUGAGGGAUUCUGACUCAUCUGCUAGAGGCUGUAUCGUUUUUGAAAUAUCCGCCAUCAAUUCAUUUUGUUGCGAAUGUUUAGAUUUCUCUUCUUUUAACUCUUUUUCUAGACAGAGAAUUUCAUGCUCAAGUUCAGAAUUGGACCUGUUCAACUUUUCACAGGUUGCCUCCAAACUUCGUGCUUCUGCUGCCGCCUUCUCAAAGCUGGCAUCCUCUAACGAUGACGCUACUUCAUAGUCUUCAUACUCUUUUUGAACAAGGCUAAAUUUUUCAAGUAGUUUACAUUUUUCUUCAAUUAGUCCAGAAAGCAUUAUAGCAAGCUUUUUCUCUCUUCCCACAUAAAGCCGACUCCUAACCGAUCUAAAACUUCUCCACAGAAAAAGGAGAACAGCAAAAAAUGCAGCAACAGCUGCACAUAUCACCAUUUCCCAUGGAAAACCAUGAGGAUUCGAAUCCAGUCUCAUACUUUCAGGCAGCGCUGCCACAACCCUGCGUGGCUCCCCCAGGACCAGCCCCAAGUACCGCUGAGGGGUAGCCCCUGGCUCCAACAUAGCGCCAAGGCUGCUCUGGCGGUCGCCGCAGUAACCCCGGCCACAACAAGCAGCGGAGAACUCGCAGCCUUGCGUCCGGAACCCGAAUCCGCACCCGGCAACCGGAGCAGACCAUUGUGGAGCCGGCUGCGGGGGGGAGCUGGGGGAUGCGGGCGCUCACAGGCCCACUCUGCCCACCCAGCCCCCUUGUUACACUACAUCCUGAGACAUGUUUUGAGCGCCUGCUGUGUCUCAAGCCCUGUCCUAGGCACUGGAGAUGAGAUGAAGAAACGAUGAGUAGAGGCCUUGCUUACGUUUAUCCUGCAACUCAUGAUGAGGCUUACUCUGCAACUCCAGUGCUCGGCUUUUUACACAACAGAGUCUCUGUUGCCCAGGCUGGAGUACAGUCGCACGAUCUUGGCUCACUGCAACCUCUGCCUCUCAGGUUCGAGUGAUUCUUCUGCCUCAGCCUCCCAAGUUGCUGGGAUUACAGAAACGGGUAUGCAGGAGAUUAGAAGCCAGUGGGCAUGAGCGUGGCUGCCACCAGGUGAAUGCCUGUGCCCUGGCGUCCUGGGGCCCAGAGGACCGGGAGCUUCCAUCAAGAGGCUGCCUCCCAGCACCAAGGCCAGAGAGUGGCCAGGGGAGGCUAAGUACAGGGAUUUCUCAGAAUGGUGGAAGGAGCUCAGCCCAGCCUUGCCCAAGAUGUAUUGCAGGGGAAUCUGGACAUUUUAGCCAUACCAAGAAUCAUUAGAAGAUGCAAGCUGGAAAAAAGAAGGUCCCAGUUUUGGUUUUGAACCCUUCAUGUUGCAGCAAAUGUGAAUCUCCUACAGAUGGGUUUGGGGACUUACCUGUUCAAAUAGCAGCCCGGUGUCCUCUGUGGGUGGGGGGAGGUUUGUCUGUCCUUUCAUUCUAGUAAAUCCACCAUCCUCUGCACGAGAGCCAGGAGAAUCCACAUCACUUCAAAAGAGCCCCCAAAUCCUUACUACGUACUACAGCCUCCUUUCGAAUGUUCCUGGUUGAGAGGGAGAUCAAUUGCAUUAUUUACAAGUCAAAAAAUUUUGUAUCAAACUUCCUAUGAGCUUGGGCACUCAUGGCCUAUGGAGGCCCACCCAGACGCAGCCCCGCCAUCAUGCUUUUUCGUUGUUUUGUGGAUGUACCCAGGGCUAUUUACACACUCUUUCAUUAAAAGGCUUAUUUUUAUAUUUAAA